AGCAGCCGCGGUAAUUCCAGCUCCAAUAGCGUAUAUUAAAGUUGUUGCAGUUAAAAAGCUCGUAGUUGAAUUUCGGGAUCAAUAUGUUGGUCGUGCCUUGGUACGUACUGGCAUUAUCGAUUCCUACCUUCUGAAGAACCUCGAUGUCAUUAAUUUGGUGUCUUGGGGAAUCAGGACUGUUACUUUGAAAAAUUAGAGUGUUUAAAGCAGGCUCGCGCUUGAAUACAUUAGCAUGGAAUAAUGAAAUAGGACGUUUGAUUCUAUUUUGUUGGUUUCUAGGAUCGACGUAAUGAUUAAUAGGGAUAGUUGGGGGCAUUAGUAUUCAAUUGUCAGAGGUGAAAUUCUUGGAUUUUAUUGAAGACUAACUACUGCGAAAGCAUUUGCCAAGGAUGUUUUCAUUAAUCAAGAACGAAAGUUAGGGGAUCGAAGACGAUCAGAUACCGUCGUAGUCUUAACCAUAAACUAUGCCGACUAGGGAUCGGAUGAUGUUAAUUUUUAAUGUACUCAUUCGGCGUCCG
rnacentral:rRNA from 1 species